ensembl:lncRNA
GCUGAGUAGUUGCGUGGGUCUGCCUAGGAUGACUGCAGCUCUUGACCAGAGGAUUUUAUGGGGAUGGCAGGAGGAAACCUCCAGCACUACAGGAGAUAUUUAAUAAGUGGCAGAAAUGGAAAGUGGUAGUGAAGAAAAUGGUAUUUUUUUGUGACUACUGUCAUCUUGACUAAAUUACUGUCAUCUUUGGAAUGCUUCCUGAGAUCUUCAGCAACAGAUGAUGAAGUUCAGAUGGGGAGAUAAACACUGAACUCCUCCACAGGCACUGGAGACAAGCAUAGGAGAAACUGAUGCUUUUUUUGUGGAAGAGGUACAUCAGUGAACCCAUUUAGUUGCACCCUGAUUUUUGUCUUACAAGAAGGCACAUCAUCAGAGAAGCUUAAAGUAAGAAGGCUUGCUCACUGUAAGACUCUGAAAACUGUCAUCUGGAUGGGAGUUUGCAGCUGCAGAUCCUGCCAGGGCUUAGAAGAGAGAAAUGCUUGCAUUCAAGUGGAAUGGAACCAUCCAUCCAGUAGAGAGCUGAUGCCUUAUUUGCUAGCAUAAUAAAUGCAAGAACAGGCCUUGCACUUUUCUUGAACUGGGAAAAAGGUUGGAUGUUCUUUAGAAUUCCCACAAUAAUGUGAGAGUCUUUUAAAACGUACAUCAGAG